AACGAACGCUGGCGGCAGGCUUAACACAUGCAAGUCGAACGGACGUAGCAAUACGUCAGUGGCAGACGGGUGAGUAACGCGUGGGAAUAUGCCCUUUAGUUCGGAAUAACUCAGGGAAACUUGAGCUAAUACCGGAUAAGCCCGAGAGGGGAAAGAUUUAUCGCUGAAGGAGUAGCCCACGUGUGAUUGGCGAGUUGGUGAGGUAAUGGCUCACCAAGGCGAAGAUCAGUAGCUGGUCUGAGAGGAUGAUCAGCUACACUGGGACGGAGACACGGCACAGACGCCUACGGGGGGCAGCAGGGGGGAAUAUUGGACAAUGGGCGCAAGCCUGACCCAGCCGUGCCGCGUUAGUGAUGAAGGCCCUAGGGUUGUAAAGCUCUUUCACCGGUGAAGAUAAUGACGGUAACCGGAGAAGAAGCCCCGGCUAACUUCGUGCCAGCCGCCGCGGUAAAAC
rnacentral:rRNA from 1 species